rnacentral:rRNA from 1 species
UCUGUCUGCUUAAUUGCGUUUCAAAUACUUCGAGGAUAUAAACGCAUUCAUUGUGAGUUGCUAUUUAGCUGGGAAUAGCAAUUUUCGCCACGGGCCACCGUGGGGAAACAAGUCACUUUGAGCGAUCCUCAAUUUGAAAGCAACGAACGUGACCGCAGCCCUUUGUUGUGUCUUUGCCAGAGACACGCGUCUUUGUUGGUUAAUUCCUCACACACGACGGCAAUGUCCUUUGUAUGGCCGUGUCUUGUUAUUUGUGUCUCUGAAUGUGCUGACGACUUCCGUCGUGGGCUGUUUAGUUAUGCAUUUAGGAACGACGUAGCUGUAUAAGGGGGUGUCGAGAGGUUUAAAUCACAGAGAAUAAAC